rnacentral:rRNA from 1 species
GACGAACGCUGGCGGCGUGCCUAAUACAUGCAAGUCGAACGCUAAAGGAGGAGCUUGCUUCUCCGGAUGAGUUGCGAACGGGUGAGUAACGCGUAGGUAACCUGCCUGGUAGCGGGGGAUAACUAUUGGAAACGAUAGCUAAUACCGCAUAAGAGUAGAUGUCGCAUGACAUUUGCUUAAAAGGUGCAACUGCACCACUACCAGAUGGACCUGCGUUGUAUUAGCUAGUUGGUGAGGUAACGGCUCACCAAGGCAACGAUACAUAGCCGACCUGAGAGGGUGAUCGGCCACACUGGGACUGAGACACGGCCCAGACUCCUACGGGAGGCAGCAGUAGGGAAUCUUCGGCAAUGGACGGAAGUCUGACCGAGCAACGCCGCGUGAGUGAAGAAGGUUUUCGGAUCGUAAAGCUCUGUUGUAAGAGAAGAACGAGUGUGAGAGUGGAAAGUUCACACUGUGACGGUAUCUGACCAGAAAGGGACGGCUAACUACGUG